UGGGGAAUUUUGGACAAUGGGCGCAAGCCUGAUCCAGCCAUGCCGCGUGCGGGAAGAAGGCCUUCGGGUUGUAAACCGCUUUUGUCGGGGAAGAAACGCUUCGAGCCAAUACCUCGGAGUAAUGACGGUACCCGAAGAAUAAGCACCGGCUAACUACGUGCCAGCAGCCGCGGUAAUACGUAGGGUGCAAGCGUUAAUCGGAAUUACUGGGCGUAAAGCGUGCGCAGGCGGUCGUGCAAGACAGAUGUGAAAUCCCCGGGCUUAACCUGGGAACUGCAUUUGUGACUGCACGGCUGGAGUGCGGCAGAGGGGGAUGGAAUUCCGCGUGUAGCAGUGAAAUGCGUAGAUAUGCGGAGGAACACCGAUGGCGAAGGCAAUCCCCUGGGCCUGCACUGACGCUCAUGCACGAAAGCGUGGGGAGCAAACAGG
rnacentral:rRNA from 1 species